rnacentral:misc_RNA from 1 species
UACGUAGGGGCCAAGCGUUGUUCGGAAUCACUGGGCGUAAAGCGCGCGCAGGCGGGUGCGGAAGUCGGGGGUGAAAGGCCGGGGCUCAACCCUGGUAGGUUCUCUCGAUACUCCGUGCCUAGGGACCGGUAGAGGCCAGUAGAAUUCCCGGAGUAGCGGUGGAAUGCGUAGAUAUCGGGAAGAACACCAGAGGCGAAGGCGACUGGCUGGGCCGGAUCCGGCGCUCAGGAGCGAAAGCGUGGGGAGCAAACAGG